rnacentral:ribozyme from 1 species
CCUCAGCAAUGGAGGUACACCUUGACGUGGUGCUGGGGCUUUUGCCAAGAUGCCU